CCCUCACUCUUAUGAACAGGCUUGAUGGUGUUUCUAUUGGAUAAGGUGUCUAAGUCCAUAACUUAUUUAGUAUAUACUUGACCCGACCCGGCAUGGUCCAUUUGGGUUGCACUUCACCCGAACUAUUUAUGGAUAAUUUUAUGAGAGUUAUACACAUAUGCUUAUUAAUAUAUUAUAACUUAUAAUAUAUUAAUAUGAAGUCAUGUUAUUUAAUUAGUCUUAGUCUUAAAUUAAUUAUGAAUUAAUUUAGAGAUUAAAAGGAAGACUAAUUAGAUUGUGGGCUGUUGGUUUUAUAUGGUGUGGGCUAAUACUCAUUUGUUAAUGUGCUAGGAUUAUAUGGAAGUCCAUGGAUGAUCCAUGGAGCUUUUAACCCAUGGAUCCUUGGAAAAGGAAAUGUCAUGGGUUAUUAGGGUUUCACCCUAACCAUGCACACUAUAUAAGCAUGCUUAUGUUGCAUGAAAUAGCCACUAGUGUGUGUGCUUGUGUGUGGCCGAAAAUUACAAGUGUGUGUACACUCUCUAAAGGUUUCCAAGUGUUUGUGGUGAUUUGUGAUUUCCAUUUGAGGCAUUCACACUAUUGGUGCUUGGCUCUCAAACUCCAAGGAAUCAAUCUCAUCAAAAGGUAUGUAAUCUCAUCUAACUCUUUUAUGUUUAAAAGUUCCCCAUGCCAUGUUAGAUAGGUUAUGAACCUUGGAAAAAUUAUUAUUUUGCAUGUAUUAGACAAACAUAGAUCCAAGGUUUAUUAGGGUUGCAUGCACACUUAGGAAGUGUUAGAUUGCUCAAAACCCAACAGUGGUAUCAGAGCCUAGGCUUGCUUGUUUGAUACUUGAUGCAAAAUAGUGAAAAAAGUUGAAAUUGUUGCUGUCUGGCUGAUGGACUCGCCGAGUCCAUGGGGGGACUCGCCGAGUUCAAGGCAAAAUUCAUCCUACUCGGCGAGUAGGUUCGUGCACUCGGCGAGUAGAAUGAUCAGAAUGCAGAAUUUCGACUUUUGCUGCUGGAAAUGGACUAGAAACAUUACCCUAAACUGUUUUGGUGUUUUAAAACUUGUUUUAGUUGGUGUAAUGGUUGUUCUAAUCCAUUUACAAUAGCAUAUAUCAAAAUUCCAUGAUUUUUAUGUGUUCAUAUAAUUCUUGAAAUUUUGAUGAUCAUGUUCAUGUUCUUAUGAAUUUAGAAGAUGAUAGGAAUUAUUUGCUGAAUUGUUUAGAAUUAAUUCUUGAUCAUUUAUGUGUUUUAAUGGAGUCCAUAAUUUGUCCUCAAGUUAUGGAUAUCCAAAGGUCACUUUUCUUUAACACACACAUUUAAACACAUAAGUUACAUGAAAAUGAAGAGUCUUCAUUUUUAUGAACCUUUAAUUCAUAAGUUAUGAAAUGAAAAGUUUUGGAUAGUUACAAAACUUGCCCUCAAGUUUUGGAAUUUGAAAAGUUUCACACACUUUAAUAAACUUUAAUUCCAACACUUAGAGUUUUAAAAGUUAAAAUUCAACACUUAUACUAUUUAUAACAUUAAUGGUUAAUUAUUAUAUAUAUGUAUAAGAACAAGUCGUUUUACCGUUAGUAGGCCUCAUUCACGAAGCCGGUCUAUAAGGUGGGUAUAAGGUUGUUGCCUAUAAAAUGGCGACUUAAUGGGUGUCCACUCUCACCCACCGCUUGCUUGAUCGGUGGAGGGUCGUUAGCCGAACGGGUAGGACAAUGACUUUAAAUUCUCAUUAAAAGUAUAAUGAUUAUUAUAAAGUAACUAAAAAUUUUUUAUUUAAUUCCCAAUCUUAGUUACUUUAGGAAAAAUGUGAAUUUGGUGCUAGCCCAUGGAAUUCACACUUUGUACCUUACCAAGUCGUUGGUGGAGCGUGUGUGGUUAACCGGCACACUAACUUGGACUAGUAAGGAUCACGAAGGGUGACUUAAUGUUUGUCAUAGAUCAAUGGAGCGUGUGUGGUUAACCGGCACAUUGAUUAGGUGAUAAUAUUAAGGGUACCAAGUGAAUUGGUAUGGUUAUUCACACCUUGUUUUGUGAUCCUCGGCAUCCCAGUCACAAAAUUUGAGAGGGCACACUCGAGAUUGAAACAUGCCAUUGAAAAGUUCAAUGAAUCUCAAAAGAUCUAGGAAUUUCAAAUCCAAUUAAAACCUAAUAAAUUAUUUCGUUUUUCAUGGUGGAAAUUGGUGAAUCGUCAUUCGCCUACCUUCAAAUAUUUUAUAGCUUGGAUUACGGCAUCCCUCUUCCAAAUUAUAAAAUAUUGUGUUGGGUCCUAGCCUUAAUAUUUCAUAUUGGGUGUUAUAUUAAGGACUUUGAAUCAACUAACUUGAUUUUCUCCCAUUAUAGAUGUCUGGUUCAGACAACUAUGAUCUUCCCAAAUCUCUUGAAGAUGGUGUCCCUCAACAUCAUGCUUCACUUCCUCCACCUCCUCCAAUUAUUCUCCCUCACCCACAAGUUCUUGAAAAGUUUAAAGUCACUCAAUCCCUAUUGGCAAGCAUAGUCUAUGUGUGCUCACAUCUUGGAGAUAAAGUCACAUAUUGACAAGCCGGGAGAGUUGGGUGUCAAAGUCUCGUGAAAGUUGGAUGUUCAAUCACUUUCUUAGUAACAUAGUGAGUCUCUUUGGGACUACUAUGAGACAGACUAUGACAUGACCCUUAAUGAUGUUAUCUAUUUGCUUGGUGUUGUGGAAUCAGCAAUGAUUUGGAACACCAGUAAAGCAAAUUUGAUUAAAAGAACAACUUCCCAAGUCUUAAAUGGACAUUGACAAUGGUAGCAUUGGAUAUCUAGAAAAGGAUUUCUCUUCCCAAUGGAAAGGGAUCGGCCAUAGUCAACUCGGUUGACCAAAUGGUAAAGAGAAAGGCUAAGUCUGAGAUAGUCUCAUGUGCCAUUACCAAAGGGUCCAUGUGUUUUGUUGCCAAAGGAAGGGGCAUUGGUUGCGAAGCUGCCCUAUUCACCUGAAAGGUCAUAAGGUUGAUCAAGUCAAGAGGUUUGACUCUACUUCGGGUAAAGUCCACUGUCUAACUCUAUUAAGUUCCUAUUUGGAGAUUCUUAUUACAUAAUGUGAAUGGGUCACAUGCUGAUGUUUUUAAGAAUCAAAGAAAAGAUAGGAAGCUUAAAGUAAGUAUAUGUUGAUUCUGAUUGCGAAGGUGGGUUUCGAUCGCAUGGUUCGGUAAUCAGAAUUUUGAGCUGUUGCUUAAGAGUUAUAAUAUAUUGCUUAUGAAUAGAUAACAACAAGGUUUUCAUGUGGAUUGUAAGGAUAAGUUUUUCCGCAAAGUUUUAAAAAAAAAAAAAAAAAGGGUUUUAAUUUUAUUUAUUUUAAAAAUAUCCUUACAAUGGCAUCUGUGGAAAAUUGUUGCUUAUAUGUUUCCAGUAAUAGCAAUAUUGGAAAGUGGAUUUGAUUCUUUCAUUUGUGGUAGUGUCUGAAUUUACCAAAUGAAGAAAGUUUUUCAUCACCCAAGUUUCAAUUGGACAGAAACUUGGAAUCAUACAAGUUGUAUUGUAUGAUGAAUGAGAAUUUUCAUCUUUGAAAAUUAAGACUAAUUCUUUGAUCACAUGUAUAUGUGAGUCAAUUGAAGGACUAAGGAAUUAGGUACACUGGGUGUGCGCUGGUCAAGGUCCACCACAAAGAUUGAUUUGUCAUGAUUUACUAAAGAUUAGUAAAUAUGAUUAUACUUAUGAGGUUAAGUAUAAUUCUGUAACAUUGGAAAGGUUACAAUGUAUGACAAAACAAAUGAGAAGAAUCAAAUUAGGCAGAAAGAUAAAAGUUUCUCAAAUCUGAAAGGAUGGGAGAGUACUUUAGUAUCGUAUUUCAUGAUCAUCUUAAUGAUUAUGAAACCAUAUCACAAAUUCAUACUCUAAGGACGUCUUAGUGCAUUGUUAUGGCUAAGAAGAGAGGUCAUGAAUUGUUGGAUUGGUUAAAAUCAAGAAGAUGAGUCAUACUUCGUUCCAAAACAAUUCUUAGAGUCAUACUCCAAGAUUGUAACUUUGAGUGACAUAAAGGAAGAUUUAUUAACACUAGUCAAAUGUAAGAGUAAAAUGUUUUCUACUCUUGUACAUUUGAGAUUGGUAAGUUGUGAUGUCUUGGAUGAGACAAAGACCAACUAAGACCAAUUGUGUGAAGUGUUAGUCUUGAUAAGAAUCCGCACUAUCCCUUGAAUAUUUGUUUUGUCAAGGAAUGGUUCUUGACUGGGGAAACUUAUAUGUCAAGGGGACAGUGGGAGCCUUAAAGAUCCUGAAAGAGUUUCAAGAUUUAAUCAAGAGUAAAACCUGUAAUUUAUCACUAGCACACGACUUAAGGUUUGCAACCUAUCGUGUUGACAUAAUUCUUAUUUCUGUACCUACUUCAAAUAAGUUGAAUUUGCAUGUGAGUUAUCAGAGUUCAACUUGGAAGCAUUGGUGGGCCUUGUGCUACCAAGGUGACAAGAAACUAAGAUUGAACAAGUUUAAUCCAUGUAAGGCUGAAUUUGUCACUAACCUUAUCUUGUGAUUAUGGUUUUGACAAAUUCACAUGGAUAGGAACUCAUACACUAUAAAAUCUAAGUGUCAUAAGGUUUCUCUCCGAUUCAUGAAAAUGAUGGUGAGGAAACGCUUUCACUAAGUAGAUUUUACGUAGAUAUCAAUUGUGUUAUUUGCAUUUUCAAAAGUCGUUAGUGGAGCGCGUGUGGUUAACCGGCACACUAACAUGGACUUGUGAGAAAUGGCAAAUGCCUAAGCAAUUGAGACUAUGAUUACGGCAUCCCUUUUCAUAGUUCUGAAAAUUGUUUAGACACACAUGUGAGCUAUCUAAGAAAGGGUGUAUGAAUCUAAAUUUCAGAAGUCCAGCAGAUUUCUGGAAAUAUGUCAGAGCUAGUGGGAGCAUAAGUGUUAUGCUGAUAAUCAUCAUGUUAGUGGGAGCAUGAUUAUUACGUUUAGUGUUGCAAGUUAGCAAUGUUAAUUAUAGAAAACAAAGUUUCAAUUCGUGAAGUUGCAGGGGUUGAAAAGUUGUUUUGCUAUAAUUAAGGGAGAGGAAAUUAUACUUCAUUUCAAUUCUAAAGCUUAGAUUGAGAUUUUAAUCAUCUUUAGUCAAGAAUAUAUAUAUGAAUUUUAUGUUGGAAUGGUUCAACUUGAAGAAAUUCUAUAUAUAUUGCGUUUUCAAAAUUCGAUUAUGAUUACGGCAUCCCUCUUCAUAGUUAAAUUUUGAAAACAUGGCAAAUAAAAAAUAUUGUAGCAAAAGACUGGUCUAGUAUCAUGUCUUUAUGUCAAACAUCAUGAAUCGUGUCCCAUAUGCUUCGGAUAUAGGAUCGAUUGCAUGUGCUAUAAUAUUCAUCUUUUCUAAAUUUUCCAAAUGCUUAAGGCAUUGAGAAGGGAAAAGUCUAGAACUGGAUAUGACUAAAGUGAUUAAGCAAUUGUCGAGGACAAUCUGAGGUUCGCCAAAGAUUGGUUGCUCAGGGAAAGUUGGAAGUAUGAUGUAAGUUGUCGGAAAGGACCAUAUUGACAUAUUCUGAAAAGAAGUAACUCUUGUUCGGAAGUGAUAGUCAAAAUGGGACUAUGGAAAUGUCUCCAUAGGUGGAAGUUAUUCAAUCUAUGUAAGAUUAGAAAACCUUAAUGCAAGAAGGAUGUUCAAAGCAAUGUACUUUGAAUAUGAGACUUCCGUUCCAUAGAAGUUGACCUUCUUUGGAAUACUCUGUAAUGACUGGUGACAAGGUUUUGGUGACUUUGUGCAUAAUCAUUACAAGAGGAACAUUGCAUAAAAGUUUAAAAUCUAACAGAUUUUUUGGUAAAUGAUAGGAAUCGGGGAUUCUCACAUUUACAAUAAGGAUUUGGGAUUGUGAAAUGAGUAUCAUUGGAAUCAUGUUCAAUUGAUCUACAUCACAAUGUAAGGAUCAUAGACAAACAUAGUGUGCAUACUUGGAGUAUGGCAUAACUAUUGUUUAGAAAAACAAAGUGUACAUGCUAGGAGCAUGGGACGACUGUUGUUUUUAUUCAAGUCUUAAGUUGAUUGUUUGAAACAUUAUACAAUGAAUAAUGUGUAAUCAAUAUGGUGAUAAAUAAAAGGUGGUUCUAUUUAUAUUCAAAAGGGUUCUGAGACCAUAUUGGAUUCGAUUAUUAUUGUGUUUCACUUUGCAUGUUUUGACUUCCAAAAUAGCUAGGUUAUUCUUUCCGAAUGACUAAGUUAUUUAAACACUCCACAGUCGUUCAUAUGUUGGAAGUAGGUAUGAAUCAAGACUGUCAUGAAUCGAGUUUGUAGAUGGCUAAAUGGGUUUAGUCAUAGCAAUGGUUGCUACAACAUUCAUGAGUGCUCAUAAGUUAUGAGUAUUGGAAUAAACCCACGCUCACUUGUAUCACUUCAUGGAAUUUAUCUCGAGUGAUCGUGAGACGGUAAUAUCAUAUAAAUCUUCAAACCUAGAGAUAUGAGUUGUUACCUAUGAGUUGGUUGUGCAUUGAUUGCACGUAAACGCAUCAGUAACUUGAUGUUAUAAAACGUGCCUUUGUGUACAAUUCAACAAGUAGUAGAACAAGCAUAUGAGUCGAAGUUUAUCUGUUCCUUCUAGAAAUAGAAGCGAUAUCUGGGCCCCUCGAUGAUUUUGUUGUGACCUAUGUACCGGCCGGUCAGAACUAAAUUGAUGUGUUCGAUUAAGUUCUUUGUCAAACAAAUCGAAAAUCGGGAAACAAACUGCUGGACAAUAAGUACGACGUUGUUCCAUGUAUUUGUCCGGCUGAUAUCAUGAGAACAGAGGAUUAUAUGAUCACUUUUUUAAAAUGGCGCUUCAUAGUUCAACAGAGUUUUCGAGAGCUACGAUUGCUGGUUGGUUCCUGAAGUAACAUACGCAAAUAUAGUUAUUAGACUUAUCCAAGUGGGAGUCUGUUGGAUAAGGUGUCUAAGUCCAUAACUUAUUUGGUAUAUACUUGACCCGACCCGGCAUGGUCCAUUUGGGUUGCACUUCACCCGAACUAUUUAUGGAUAAUUUUAUGAGAGUUAUACACAUAUGUUUAUUAAUAUAUUAUAACUUAUAAUAUAUUAAUAUGAAGUCAUGUUAUUUAAUUAGUCUUAGUCUUAAAUUAAUUAUGAAUUAAUUUAGAGAUUAAAAGGAAGACUAAUUAGAUUGUGGGCUAUUGGUUUUAUAUGGUGUGGGCUAAUACUCAUUUGUUAAUGGGCUAGGCUUAUAUGGAAGUCCAUGGAUGAUCCAUGGAGCUUUUAACCCAUGGAUCCUUGGAAAAGGAAAGGUCAUGGGUUAUUAGGGUUUCACCCUAACCAUGCACACUAUAUAAGCAUGCUUAUGUUGCAUGAAAUAGCCACUAGUGUGUGUGCUUGUGUGUGGACGAAAAUUACAAGUGUGUGUACACUCUCUAAAGUUUUCCAAGUGUUUGUGGUGAUUUGUGAUUUCCAUUUGAGGCAUUCACACUAUUGGUGCUUGGCUCUCAAACUCCAAGAAAUCAAUCUCAUCAAAAGGUAUGUAAUCUCAUCUAACUCUUUUAUGUUUAAAAGUUCCCCAUGCCAUGUUAGAUAGGUUAUGAACCUUGGAAAAAUUAUUAUUUUGCAUGUAUUAGACAAACAUAGAUCCAAGGUUUAUUAGGGUUGCAUGCACACUUAGGAAGUGUUAGAUUGCUCAAAACCCAAC
rnacentral:lncRNA from 1 species